AGCCACCCAGACCCCCCCUCAGCUGUCACUCUUAAAUACACAGUGCAUUAUUGCUUCCUAAGAUGCCUGCACAUCAUUCCUGAAAAUUACAGGCUUUUUCAUCCAUCUAGAAUCCUCACAUUCCAGCAGCAUAUGAUGGAAGGGCAGAAGUCUACCAGUGUAGCUCUGAUUCUCUUUGCUACCCAAAGACAAAACUUCAAGGCAUGUUAUAAAAAGAAAAAAGGAAGAACGUAGGAAGCCUUAUUAUCUUCUUUUAUUGACUUCACAUUGAAUAUGGUCAUUUGCAGACUUAUUUUGGAGUUUCUCCAUCUCAUAUUCCAAGGACAGCCAAAUGACUUAAUACAAACGCUCCCGAAGUAUUAUUAGUCAUCGGUUUUGAAAUUUUCCUUUCAACAGUGUUCUCUAGACAAGUCAUUUAAUUUUCAUACUUUAAUUUUUUCAUUUUCUGAAUACUAGGACUAUGACUGUUUUUAUGGGACGAAGUGAAAGUCCAUCAAAUUUUAUUCAAAAUAGAUUUGAAUUUUUUAAAUGAAAGUAUGAAGACUAUAUUACAUACAGCAUUGUUUUAUGUAAUGACAAUAUAA
rnacentral:lncRNA from 1 species